UGGGGAAUAUUGGACAAUGGAGGAAACUCUGAUCCAGCAAUUCUGUGUGUGUGAAGAAGGUUUUAGGACUGUAAAACACUUUUAGUAGGGAAGAAAAAAAUGACGGUACCUACAGAAGAAGCAACGGCUAAAUACGUGCCAGCAGCCGCGGUAAUACGUAUGGACCGAGCGUUGUCCGGAAUCAUUGGGCGUAAAGGGUACGUAGGCGGCCCAGUAAGUUAGAAGUGAAAUAAUAUAGCUCAACUAUAUAAAGCUUUUAAAACUGCUAGGCUUGAGAGAUGGAAGGGAAAGUGGAAUUCCUAGUGUAGCGGUGAAAUGCGCAGAUAUUAGGAAGAAUACCGGUGGCGAAGGCGACUUUCUGGUCAUCAUCUGACGCUGAGGUACGAAAGCGUGGGUAGCAAACAGG
rnacentral:rRNA from 1 species